rnacentral:rRNA from 1 species
AUUGAACGCUGGCGGCAGGCCUAACACAUGCAAGUCGAGCGGAUGACGGGAACUUGCUCCUAGAUUCAGCGGCGGACGGGUGAGUAAUGCCUAGGAAUCUGCCUGGUAGUGGGGGACAACGUUUCGAAAGGAGCGCUAAUACCGCAUACGUCCUACGGGAGAAAGCAGGGGACCUUCGGGCCUUGCGCUAUCAGAUGAGCCUAGGUCGGAUUAGCUAGUUGGUGGGGUAAUGGCUCACCAAGGCGACGAUCCGUAACUGGUCUGAGAGGAUGAUCAGUCACACUGGAACUGAGACCCGGUCCAGACUCCUACGGGAGGCAGCAGUGGGGAAUAUUGGACAAUGGGCGAAAGCCUGAUCCAGCCAUGCCGCGUGUGUGAAGAAGGUCUUCGGAUUGUAAAGCACUUUAAGUUGGGAGGAAGGGCAGUAAGUUAAUACUUUGCUGUUUUGACGUUACCGACAGAAUAAGCACCGGCUAACUCUGUGCCAGCCGCCGCCGUAAUAC